rnacentral:rRNA from 1 species
CACCCGGUCCCAUCCCGAACCCGGAAGUUAAGCCUGCCAGCGCCGAUGGUACUGCAACCGAGAGGCUGUGGGAGAGUAGGACGCCGCCGGAC